rnacentral:tmRNA from 1 species
GGGGCCGAUCUGGAUUCGACCGGGCAGGGAAGGUUCGGCGUGGCGCGUCGAGGGGCGUGCUGGCCUCGUAAAAAGCACGCACACCUAAUAAUUGCCAACAGCAAUUACGCUCUCGCGGCUUAGCUUUAGUCGCGCGUCCCGCGCUCGACGCCCGAUAGGGCGCGGGAUGAUGACCUCGGGCUGGUCCGUGCGUGACGCCAUCAGGCGUACGGAUGAGAAACUACUGAAGGCUGGGCCGAAAGGGAGGCUGUCGUUGGCCGCCCCGACGCCGAGAUUAAAACAACGACUACACGCGUAGAGGCGCCGUGCUGACUGUCUCGGGACGGGGGUUCGAUUCCCCCCGGCUCCAUUC